UGUUCGUCAAGUUGUGGCGGAGGAAUACAAGAGCGACAACGACACUGUGACAGCCCACCACCAUAUUUGGCUGGAAGAUAUUGCUCUGGAUUGCCAAUCGAAAGUCGUUCAUGUAAUAUGAUGUGUUGUCCAAGUAUGUGUUCAUUGAAUUAUACGUAUAUGUAUGCAUAAUAUUUUAAAGACGAGAACACAAAGAUAUUUAAAUGUUAUAACAUGUUUAAAGUAUAAUCAUUUCAAGUGUGUUUCUUGCUAAUAAGGUCAAAUGAACAGAAUAAAAAGAUUAUCAAUUACCAGUUUCAAAAUAUUUUUGAAUAAAUUUCAAACCCUUAUAGUGUAUUUUAGUAAUAAAAAAAAAACUAACAGUGUCCAUAUGGUCACAAGGGAAUAACCCUCAACCGAAGUAUUUAUUGUUUGUCCUUCUAUUUGAGUUAACGUUGUGAACAAAGUAUUCACUGUAUACCAAUUGUCAUCAAUUGUUAAAAACAGCAAUUGAUCAAUCAUGUAAGCUUUGAUGUCUUUCUUUGUGUGAUAUAUCAUCAUUCCUUAUUUUACUGACAAUUUUGAUUAAGAUAUGUUCGCGCUUAUUUUACAAUCAGUUGCAAAUCAAGUAUUAUAUUAACUAUAUAAGCAAGCACUAAUCAUUUUUGGUGGAAUAACACCUAAAUGGCUCAACAUGAUGAAACUGUUUUUGAAUUCAAUGAUAAUGACCUGUAUGCAAUUGAGAUUUGUACCUUAACAAUUGGCAGAAGUUACGAAACGGCCAUACAAGACUCACAUGUAAAAAAAAACAACCAAAAAACACGAAAAAACUUGAGCAGUUCAGAAAAAAGAAACAUAUUUAAAGACAGAGCACCCCGUACUAAAUGAUGAAUGGACGUGUGUUUACCUCAGACAGUGUUACAUAUAUAUAAGUUAUGGUUUAAGUAUCCCUAUUUAUAAUAGAAAACCCUAUAAUAACAACAUGAUUAUAAUCAAAAUAAACAAUAUGAUUUACAUAUUGCCAAUUUUAUUUUGAAGAUAAAUUAACAUAGAAUAAUUAUUAUGUAUUUUUUUGGGGCGCUGGCACGGCUUUCUCACAUCUUAUAUCUGAAGGUACCUGGUCUGAAUGGAGUACCUGUCCAGUUAGUUGUGGUGGUGGUAUUCAACACAGAUUAAAAGAUUGCCACAUUCAAUCAUCAAUUUCGGAUUCAACCUAUUGUGAUGCGUCAAUGGAAAGUCGGUUAUGUAAUAAUACAUGCUGUUCCG
rnacentral:lncRNA from 1 species